rnacentral:rRNA from 1 species
AUGUGGCUUGACCCUCUUAUUAGCUUCUGCAUGUGCUUCCAGGCCGAGAUCACACGAAAAAAGUACUAUGGAGCCACGUCCAGCAUUGAAGAGUACUUCCAUUUUGUGUAUGGGGAUGAUGCCACUGAGAUCAACUUAUCUCUGAGAGGGUUUUUACCCAAGGACAAUUGGACGAAAAGGCCACGAGGUCCUCGCAAGAAAAGGAAAUUCCCGUCGAACCCACAGUGCGUAGGACAGUUGCAUGUUGGGAGUAAGGGCACGAAAUCUCGAGGUAGAAAAAACAAUGAGCGAUGGACACCUGACGAGGUGACCAUACUGCUUAAAGGUAUCCGUAGAUAUGGUGAGGGGAAAUGGACAAAAGUGAAGAAAUGGUACUUCAGAAAAUCGGUUCGAACGGCAGUACAUCUGAAGGAUAAGUGGAGAAACCUACGCAAAGCUUGUGGAGGUCAGGUGUACCUCUCAAAAGUGGAAGACACAAAAUACUAUGUUCCAGCCGUUGGACGAAGAUUUGGUGUGACAGAUCAGAAAGCUAGCUAG